UAUUUUUAGAAUAGGAGAGAUUGGAAUAUUUCCAGGGAUUUUCCAGAUGGUGUCCAAACUUUUGAAAGCAAUAAGAUGCCUUUUUAUAGCCAAAACCUUGGGGCAACUCUCUUUUUUGUGUUUUCUCAUUAGCCCUUUUCCUAUUUCUUAAAAUUGCUAAAUUAGUCCGUCGUUUUCUAACUUUUACCUCAAGUUUAUUAGAAAAAUUACCAGAAAUUAGCUUUUAAACCUCCAACUAGAAGGUUCCAUGGGUCUAUUUCAAGAUUCUCACACCCAAAUAUCCCUAUUACCCUUGUGUUUUCUUUU
rnacentral:lncRNA from 1 species